rnacentral:lncRNA from 1 species
UAACCAAGUGGUACGACCAUGAGGGAGACAUUGAGAACGGGGCACCUUACACGUCUUGCUCAGGAAUCCACCAGCGGGCUGUCUGUGUUUAUGGGUCAGGGGACCUGCACUGGAUACUUCAGAACCAUCACCUCUUGGCCAACAAGUUUGACCCAAAGGUGGAUGAUAAUGUUCUUCAGUGUUUAGAAGAAUAUUUACGUCACAAAGCCAUCUAUGGGACUGAACUAUGAGACACUGUAAGACUAUUGUUACCUGUGUGGCAAGAAAAUGCCAGGACCUACUGGGGCAGUGUGGGGUAGAUAGCUGGGGCUCUAGACUCCAUGUGUCCCUUAGGAUGAGGGGGCUGCUAUUGGACAGCGGGUAAGUAGACCUCUGCUCCUUGUGAGCUGUCGCUGGUGAAGGUGGCUAUUCUCCAGCUCCCUCCCCAACUUCUUUGGCUUCCUCGCAGAGCUAGAACAUGAAAUACUGUUACUUGGGAUAAUAAGGGAGGGGACAUGUGACCAGGGACCCUGGAUUUUGGCUGAAGACUUCCUGUCAGGUUCUCUACAGAGACUUUGUUUCAAAUACCUCUGGGGGGUUGGUCUUGGGUGGGGAACUUUAGUGCAAAGAGCCCCCCUCUUUUAUAUUGUUAAUUUAACAUAAAGAGCUUCUAAACCAAAGCCCUGCCCCUCCAGUGUCAUCUGUGAAUCCAGAAAUAAUGUAAGCAGGAAAAAUAUGUGAGGCAUUACUCGUGUGCUGAGGACAGUUAGUGUCUGGUGGCUGGGAAGAAGUCUCCGUAGCAAGCCGAGUAGAAGGCAAACCGAAUCACAGAGCUAAUUCUCUGUUACUGAAAGCCUUCCUAGUCUUGCUUUCCUUGGUAGAUUCUGAAUUUUCCAUGAGGGGAAGAACAGAGUGAUUGGACUGGUUUGCUGAGUAUGUGCUUAGCUUCACGGCCAAAGCUCAGCAUCCCGUGCCCAGCAGCCAAUCUUACUGGAGCUUAGUUUGGUUGGGGGUAGAGGUGGCGCUGUUAAUCAUUAGGUCCGGGAGUGAAAGGAAACGGUUUUGCUAACCUAAGAUGCCUGAGAAUUCUGUUUAAACCUCUUGAAUGAAAGCUUCUUUAUUUCAUUGUGU